AAUUCUCAACCUUUCUAAGCUUUUACCUGAAGCUGAGUCAGGCUUGGAUUCUGGGAGCGUGUGCUGGCUCUAGCAAGUCAGCUCUCCUUAAAUUUAUUAGCAAGAUUGAUAGCUGAGCCAUUCAUUGAUAUGAUAAUUAUCUAUAUCAUUGGUGGGAUAGCGUUCUUUAGAUCUAGCUUUCUAAUCGUCCUUAAUGGACAAUUUCUCGAUUC
rnacentral:misc_RNA from 1 species